GGAGAGGUGCCAGAGUGGUUGAACGGGGCGGUCUCGAAAACCGUUAUACUGGGUAACCGGUAUCGAGGGUUCGAAUCCCUCCCUCUCCG
rnacentral:tRNA from 1 species